rnacentral:rRNA from 1 species
GAUGAACGCUGGCGGCGUGCCUAAUACAUGCAAGUAGAACGCUGAAGGAGGAGCUUGCUCUUCUGGAUGAGUUGCGAACGGGUGAGUAACGCGUAGGUAACCUGCCUGGUAGCGGGGGAUAACUAUUGGAAACGAUAGCUAAUACCGCAUGACAACAGUUAUUGCAUGAUAACUGUUUAAAAGGGGCAACUGCUCCACUACCAGAUGGACCUGCGUUGUAUUAGCUAGUUGGUGAGGUAACGGCUCACCAAGGCGACGAUACAUAGCCGACCUGAGAGGGUGAUCGGCCACACUGGGACUGAGACACGGCCCAGACUCCUACGGGAGGCAGCAGUAGGGAAUCUUCGGCAAUGGACGGAAGGCUGAGCGAGCAACGCCGCGUGAGUGAAGAAGGUUUUCGGAUCGUAAAGCUCUGUUGUAAGAGAAGAACGAGUGUGAGGGUGGAAAGUUCACACUGUGACGGUAUCUUACCAGAAAGGGACGGCUAACUACGUG